UACAGAGGGUGCAAGCGUUGUUCGGAAUUAUUGGGCGUAAAGCGCGUGUAGGCGGCUUGGCAAGUCGGGUGUGAAAGUCCCUCCAGCUCAACUGAGGAAGUGCGCCCGAAACUGCUUUGGCUUGAGGUGCCGGAGAGGAUGGCGGAAUUCCCCAAGUAGAGGUGAAAUUCGUAGAUAGUGGGGGAGGAACACCGGUGGCGAAGGCG
rnacentral:rRNA from 1 species